GGACUACAGGGGUUUCUAAUCCUGUUUGCUCCCCACGCUUUCGUGCAUGAGCGUCAGUGUUAUCCCAGGGGGCUGCCUUCGCCAUCGGUAUUCCUCCACAUCUCUACGCAUUUCACUGCUACACGUGGAAUUCUACCCCCCUCUGACACACUCUAGCCUCGUAGUUUCAAAUGCAGUUCCCAGGUUAAGCCCGGGGAUUUCACAUCUGACUUGCGAAACCACCUGCGCACGCUUUACGCCCAGUAAUUCCGAUUAACGCUUGCACCCUACGUAUUACCGCGGCGGCUGGCAC
rnacentral:rRNA from 1 species